UACCUGGUUGAUCCUGCCAGUAGUCAUAUGCUUGUCUCAAAGAUUAAGCCAUGCAAGUCUAAGUACGAGCUCUCGUACAGUGAAACUGCGAAUGGCUCAUUAAAUCAGUUAUGGUUCAUUUGAUCGUACAGUUUACUUGGAUAACUGUGGUAAUUCUAGAGCUAAUACAUGCGAGAAGCGCCGACCUCGCGGGAGGCGUGCAUUUAUCAGACCAAAAACCGGCCGCGUCUUCGGGCGCGUUCGCCUUGGUGACUCUGGAUAACUUUGCGGAUCGCACGGUCUAGCACCGGCGACGGAUCAUUCAAGUGUCUGCCCUAUCAACUUUCGUCGGUACGGUAUUUGCCUACCGAGGUUCUUACGGGUGACGGGGAAUCAGGGUUCGAUUCCGGAGAGGGAGCCUGAGAAACGGCUACCACAUCCAAGGAAGGCAGCAGGCGCGCAAAUUACCCAUUCCCGACGCGGGGAGGUAGUGACGAAAAAUAACAAUGCAGGACUCGUUCGAGGCCCUGUAAUUGGAAUGAGUACACUUUAAAAGCUUUAACGAGUAUCCAUUGGAGGGCAAGUCUGGUGCCAGCAGCCGCGGUAAUUCCAGCUCCAAAAGUAUAUAUUUAAGUUGUUGCGGUUAAAAAGCUCGUAGUUGGAUUUUGGGCGCAGGCGGCCGGUCCGUCGCAAGGCGUGUACUGAACGUCCUGGCCUUCCCUCCGGUUCUCCGCCGGUGCUCUUGACUGAGUGUCGGCGGCGGCCGGAACGUUUACUUUGAAAAAUUAGAGUGUUCAAAGCAGGCUCUCGAGCCUGGAUAAUGGUGCAUGGAAUAAUGGA
rnacentral:ncRNA from 1 species